rnacentral:rRNA from 1 species
CAGCAGCCGCGGUAAUACGAAGGGUGCAAGCGUUAAUCGGAAUUACUGGGCGUAAAGCGUGCGUAGGCGGUGAGUUAAGUCUGCUGUGAAAUCCCCGGGCUCAACCUGGGAAUGGCAGUGGAUACUGGCUCGCUAGAGUGUGUCAGAGGAUGGUGGAAUUCCCGGUGUAGCGGUGAAAUGCGUAGAGAUCGGAAGGAACAUCAGUGGCGAAGGCGGCCAUCUGGGACAACACUGACGCUGAGGCACGAAAGCGUGGGGAGCAAACAGGAUUAGAUACCCGGGUAGUCCCUGUCUCUUAUAC